UUUCUUACAUUUUUCUCUCUUUUUCGUUUCUUCUCCACAGGGACCAUCACCUCUACAAUUACCAUCUCCAUCUCUGAAACCUUCAUCACCUGAUAGACCCAGUCCUUAGAGUUUCUUCUUUAUUUUUCGUUUACUGAAAGAGCACGCCCCGUCUUCCUCUUCAUCACUAUACCUUAAUACCAUCUUCUCUAUUUUUUGUUCACCUUUUCCUCUAUUGUUUAUUUUUGUAUGCUUUUGUUGAAAGAAAUAUCUCACUGAUCCCCACUUUUUUCCCCAACAAUUUAAAGAAUUUAUUAGUCGAGGUCUCGUUCAGGCUCUACUUGGUUAUUGAUGUAAUAACCCAGGACUUUGGGAUGGUUAUUUUGGUAAUUUGACUAAGAGGAGAAGAAAAGGAGAAAACCUAGAGAAUUUUAAGGGAAUUGGCAGUUGCAUAUGUGCUUCAGCCGCAGAAGUUAUACAAGUAGCAAAAGCUCAUUUAAUGUGACGAAUUAGAAAGGGUAGUUAAGAUGUUAGCUAAAUUAAGUUUCAAUGUGUUACUACUCAAUCCUAUUUCUUUUGUAGUUGAAGUUACAUUUAUGUCAAUUAGGCCCCCAAGGCCAUUUGCUAUUUUACUUUGCUCCAUGCGAGGUGUAGGAAAGUUCUGGAAUACUCCUUAGCUCUAUUUUGCAGAGCUUGUAUAUUUUUGGUAUUAUCUGAUGAAUGAAUUAAUAUCUUCCUCCUUCUUACCUCUUUCUCUCUCACUCUAUUCUAUCUCUUCUCACUAUCUUUAUAUGUCUAUUUUCCCUGCGAAAUCAUCAUUAUUGAACCCUUAUAAGUUUUAUAUUCGUUACAGUGGUAUAAGAGCCAACUGGGCGCGGGUAAGCAUGCUCACAAUGUCUCAAAAUUAGGAAAUUCUAGGGUUAACGGAAGGUGUCACUAAGAUUCGAACUCAGCUGAAGUCAUUUAUGAUCGAAACGACGAAGCGAUUCAAAACUCUUGAAACCCAGCAAACUCAAUUCUCUUCAUAGCUUCAAGAGACCUAAGAGCCGAAUCGACGACUAGAUAUGGACACAAACAAAAUAUUGGAGCUCAUUCUUGCAAGCUUAGAUAUUGAUAAUCGACGGCCGAACUCAACACCUCUUUAGUCUCAGUCACAAGCAACUCCAAACCCAAAUACGUAUGAGUGCGGCAUGUCCUCAGUUUGUCAUUAGAGGAACACCUAGAACAUUUACAGGUGGUGCUGGAAUUGUUAAGAAGCCACCGUUUGUUUGCUAAGAGGUCAAAAUGUGACUUUGCUCAGUCACAAAUUGAAUACUUGGGGCAUAUCAUCAAUGGUGACGGGGUGAGUACUGAUCCCAGUAAAAUUAUUUCCAUGGUGAAUUGGCCACAACCAACCAACAUUAAAAAGUUGAGGGGUUUUAUAAGACUCGCUGGCUUACCGGUGGUUUAUUAAGAAUAAUGUUGUCCUUAGCAAACCCCUGACUAUAUUACUAAAGAAGAGAUUUCAAUGUAGUGAAGAAGCUACAAAGGCCUUUCAUGAUCUUAAACUAUGAAUACAACUCAUGUUUUGUCUU